GCCAGCAGCUAUAUUACUCUGCCACUCACAGCUGGCAGCCCACUGGAGCUCAGCAGGUGUGAGCCUGGUCAGUACCUGGAGGGGAGACCUCCUGGGAAAAACUAAGGUUGCUGCUGGAA
rnacentral:rRNA from 1 species